rnacentral:rRNA from 1 species
GAUGAACGCUGGCGGCGUGCUUAACACAUGCAAGUCGAACGGUGAAGCAGGAGCUUGCUCUUGUGGAUCAGUGGCGAACGGGUGAGUAACACGUGAGCAACCUGCCUCUGACUCUGGGAUAAGCGCUGGAAACGGCGUCUAAUACUGGAUAUGUGAUGUGACCGCAUGGUCUGCAUCUGGAAAGAAUUUCGGUUGGGGAUGGGCUCGCGGCCUAUCAGCUUGUUGGUGAGGUAAUGGCUCACCAAGGCGUCGUCGGGUAGCCGGCCUGAGAGGGUGACCGGCCACACUGGGAAUGAGACACGGCCCAGACUCCUACGGGAGGCAGCAGUGGGGAAUAUUGCACAAUGGGCGGAAGCCUGAUGCAGCAACGCCGCGUGAGGGAUGACGGCCUUCGGGUUGUAAACCUCUUUUAGCAGGGAAGAAGCGAAAGUGACGGUACCUGCAGAAAAAGCACCGGCUAACUACGUGCCAGCCGCCGCCGUAA